GCAGAGUAGGUUUGUGUGCGUUAAGUGCCUGCUGAACAGGGAGUUGUCAGCGGGACGAAAAGAUGGCGUCUGCCGCUGCCUGAGAUGACGGAAGCAGGCGGCAGGGCAUCUUGCGGUACGCAGACCGCAUCCCGCUGC
rnacentral:ncRNA from 1 species